rnacentral:rRNA from 1 species
UGGGGAAUCUUGCGCAAUGCGCGAAAGCGUGACGCAGCAACACCGCGUGAGGGAAGACGGCCUUCGGGUUGUAAACCUCUUUCAGGAGGGACGAAGGGCGGCCGGUGAAUAGCCGUGCCGCUUGACGGUACCUCCAGAAGAAGCUCCGGCUAACUACGUGCCAGCAGCCGCGGUAAUACGUAGGGAGCAAGCGUUGUCCGGAAUCAUUGGGCGUAAAGCGCGCGUAGGCGGCCCGAUAAGUCCGCUGUAAAAGUCAACGGCUCAACUGUUGAAAGCCGGUGGAUACUGUCGGGCUAGAGUACGGAAGAGGCAAGUGGAAUUCCUGGUGUAGCGGUGGAAUGCGCAGAUAUCAGGAGGAACACCUAUAGCGAAGGCAGCUUGCUGGGACGUUACUGACGCUAAGGCGCGAAAGCGUGGGGAGCGAACAGG